rnacentral:rRNA from 1 species
CCCUUAGAUGUUCUGGGCUGCACGCGCGCUACACUGAUACUUUCAGCGAGUCCACCACCUUGCCUGAGAGGGUGGGGUAACCUCUGGAAAGUGUAUCGUGAUGGGGAUCGAUUAUUGUAAUUAUUAAUCUUCAACGAGGAAUUCCUAGUAAGCGCGAGUCAUCAGCUCGUGCUGAUUACGUCCCUGCCCUUUGUACACACCGCCCGUCGCUCCUACCGAUUGAGUGCUCAGGUGAAUAAUUCGGACUGCAGCAGUGUUUGGAUCCCGAACGCUGCAGCGGAAAGUUUAGUGAACCUUAUCACUUAGAGGAAGGAGAAGUCGUAACA